rnacentral:misc_RNA from 1 species
AAAAAAAAAUAUUAUACAAAACAAGCUCAGGUCCACAGACUGAGCAAGUAAUCUUAACUUAGCUUAUGAUAAAUAUGGUCAUUUCAUCUCUUAUUACAAACAUAUAAAAGCAGCAGAAAUUCAAUAAGGAUAUUGACCCUCAAUGUUACCCACAGGAUCAUAAUUGCAAGUCACAAACCACCAACCAUUCUUGCACUUGGCCCUUCCACACCCAAGAUGAACUGAGUUGCGCCAAACAAUCUGAGUAUAGUGCAAGCACUCAUCGCCAACACAGGAAUUUGAUUUGUAAUCAUAGUUAGGCUUCUCGCUCGCCCACAUCGUCACUGCGUCCACUCCGUUUAGGUUACCAUAGCCUUCUGCAAUGUUCUCACCAUAGGGUCCAUAAGAAUGCUCCAACUCACAGUUUUCUAUCCUCGAAUUUGCAUAUUUUUGAGCAUAGGCUGCCACUGUCUUGUUCCAAGAAACUGGACCCACACCCACUUCUGCACGAACUGCGUUAUGUGCAUCUACAUAAUCCUGGGAAGAAUUCUG